rfam:Oryza glumipatula chromosome 4, whole genome shotgun sequence.
UUUAAGUGCAACCAUGACUUUCCGUUCCAACUUUCAUCGUCCGUCUUAUUUAAAUUUUUUUUUUAUAAUUAGUAUUUUUUUUGUUGUUAUGAGAUGAUAAAAUAUGAAUAGUACUUUACUCGUGACUUAUGUUUUUAAUUUUUUUAAAAAAUAUUUAAAUAAAAUGGAUGAUCAAAACUAGGAAAAAAAUAGCUGCACUUAAA